rnacentral:rRNA from 1 species
AUUGAACGCUGGCGGCAGGCUUAACACAUGCAAGUCGAGCGGAGAUGAGGUGCUUGCACCUUAUCUUAGCGGCGGACGGGUGAGUAAUGCUUAGGAAUCUGCCUAUUAGUGGGGGACAACAUUCCGAAAGGAAUGCUAAUACCGCAUACGUCCUACGGGAGAAAGCAGGGGAUCUUCGGACCUUGCGCUAAUAGAUGAGCCUAAGUCGGAUUAGCUAGUUGGUGGGGUAAAGGCCUACCAAGGCGACGAUCUGUAGCGGGUCUGAGAGGAUGAUCCGCCAGACUGGGACUGAGACACGGCCCAGACUCCUACGGGAGGCAGCAGUGGGGAAUAUUGGACAAGGGGGGGAACCCUGAUCCAGCCAUGCCGCGUGUGUGAUGAAGGCCUUAUGGUUGUAAAGCACUUUAAGCGAGGAGGAGGCUACUGAGACUAAUACUCUUGGAUAGUGGACGUUACUCGCAGAAUAAGCACCGGCUAACUCUGUGCCAGCCGCCGCGGUAAGAC